UUCUUCGUCUUUCUUCUGCUCUUCCUCUGUUCUUCAUUCUCUGAUGGUUUUUGAAUCAAAUUGAUGAAUUUGAGAUCGAAACAAAGGGAGAAAGAUCAUGUAGUGACUUCCGGUGUACUGAGAGAUAUGAUAUUGAUGUUGGAGAAGAUUGAGUUAUUGUUAUAAAUUGAAAAUCGGGUUUCUGAAGUUAAGGUGCGUAAAACUGAUGGUGAUAUAAUGAUAAUGAAGGAUUAAGAACAAUUGGGGUGUUGUUUAAUUGGAUUUUUAGUGUUAUCUUGAAGAGUAAUUUGAGUUUGAUAAUUAGGGUUUCUGCAUGUUGUAUUGGAGUUCGAAUUAGGCAAAGAUGGAGAAGAUUUAGAUAAAAUUGUAAGAUGGGUUUGUUUAAUUGAGACUUCUGAAGUUGUUGUGGUGAUAAAUUGAGAAGAUAGAUUUAUGUUAAAUGGAAUUAGGGUUCUUGAGUCGAUGUAAGUGAGGAUUUAGAAGAUUGUUUGGAAAUGAGUUCUGUUGAUAUGAAGAACUGGGUUGCUGUUCUUGGUUCGAAUUAUAUAAGUCUUGAGUUAAGAAUUGGUUGUGAUGAAUUGAUGAAUUACAGAUGUGAUAUGUUGCUGAAUCAAGUUCAAUUGCCUGAGUAGAACUAAUCAGAGGUAAUGGUUUUUCUUAGUUAAUUGAGUAAAGCUUUCUGUUCAAUUUCGAGUUUAUAAGAUUGUUAAUUGGCAUAAGAAUUGAGACGCAGGAAUUGAGAUUAUUUUAAAAUGGGUAAUUGGAGUGCAGAAUUACUUGGGAUGAAUUUAUGUAUAUCUGAAUUGAGAAAUUGAGUUUAAGGAAGGUGUUGUUGUUGUUGUUGUUGUUAUGGUUUGUAUGAAUGAGUGAUUUCAAGAGAUGGAUAUGAGUAACUGUAAUUAUUGGAUUGAGUAUGAUCUCAAUUGAAGUUCCAGUGUGAUUGAGUUACAGGUUCAGGGGACUGGAUUGCGUGUAUAUUUGAUCUGGUAGUGGUAAAUGGAGAUGGUGGUGUUAUCUAUGUUAUGUAAUGCAACUGAAGUAAGAUGAAUGGUUUAAUAAUUGUGGGUAUGCAGGUGGUUGUGUUGAAAAAUGGGUUACAGAAAUGAAUGUGUAUGGAUGGUGGUGUAAGUUGUGAUUCAGGUGGAACUGCAGAUUCAGUUUGUGCUGGUAGAGUUAAUAUUAAUAAGAAUGCCAGAGAACUGUUAGUGGAGGAAUUGAAGUGGUGCUAUGGAUGUUGAUAAUUAUGUAAUGAAAUUGAAAUUCAUAUUUUGGAGUGUGUUGAAUUGUAAGCAAUGGAACUGGUGCAUAUAUAAUGAGUUGGUGGCAAUGUUGUUAAAGUUCAUGGAACUGCAGUUGCAGAUAUAGUGAUGUUGUUUGUGUAUUUGUGGAAUUGGAACUGGGAAUUGGAGUUUGUAUUCGUAUAAGCUAAGUUGGGUUGUAUGUUUUGAGAAUGAUUUGAAAUUGGGAAUGAGGGUUAGAUGAAGGUGUUGAGUGAAUCUUUAGGGGAAAGCUUGAUACUGCUUUUGCAGUUAGUUUGUAUUAACAACGAUCGAUUCAAAGGAUGAACCAGUGGAUCGUGGAUCUCGAGGUAGGCGUGGCUUGUCAUCAAAAGAGGUGGGAAUACAUUUGACUCUUUUGUAACCAUUGUUGUUUCUUUUAUAAAUGUCUUUGUUUAAUAAACUCAUGAAUUGUCAGUUUAUGCAUUCCAUAUAUUGUUUAAAUUACGUUAUGAUAGUUCUGUUGAUUCUGUUAAUCUUUUCAUGGUUUAGAAAGGACCUGUAAUGUUUUGUUGUCAAUAUGAAUUGUUAUGAGAAAUGAGAAUUUCCACGUAUGGUAUAUAGGAUAUGCUCCUUCAUCACAUUUAUACCUACAUGAAUUCAGCUUUUAUUGCUUAGAGUGGGUCAUCAUGGUCUUGGUGAGAUCAAUAUCUAAUGAGUGUGUUUAGCACGAAUAUUAUACAUUGUUUGAAGAAGGAGUUUGUCCAUAUACAUGUUUGUUUAUU